AAAACAGGUCAGGGAACUGAAGAGAAAGAUAACGAAAAAUGCAAGUGGCUCCAAUUCUGAAACCAAAAAAUAAAGAAGAAAGCAAUGUCAAGCAAAAAAUUCAUUUA